GGAUACUUGAAUCAAGCUAAUGUAGAAGCAAUUCCCUUGUCUUAUCCAACCAAAAGUUGUAAGCUUUAUCCACAUACAGAACAAAGUGCAUCUACUCAAAUCAGAGUUAUGAAAUGUGACAAUUCAUCAAGGGGCCAACAGAUAUCAAGGAGCCAACAGAAAAGGCCUUGGCCUAGGUGGUUCCAUUUGGCAACUUGCCCAUAAGCACCUCAACAUAUGGCAGGGAAAGCAAUGUACUCAAUCUUGUUGGCUUUGGCCACCAUCAAG
rnacentral:misc_RNA from 1 species